GGCCCCAUAGUGUAGUAGUUAGCAUGUCUGCUUUACACACAGAAGGUCCUGAGUUCACGCCCCAGGUGAAGCCA
rnacentral:tRNA from 1 species